AAUUCUAGUGUUAUUCAAUCAAUUGAUUUUUGAAUUCUAUAUAUGUAUAAAUGUUACCAUGGUUUUGAUGUUAGUGCUCAUUCGAAAGAAUUUAAUAGAAAAUUCAUUACAAAAAAUUAUGAUCUAUGUGGUCUUUCUACUCUUACGUGAAAGUUAUAGAGCAGUUCUGGUUAUUUAAGGAUCCCAGGAUACAACCUCUAUAAACUGGUUUUGCAACACUCGAAAACACAGUUCUAACAAACAUAGUUUCUACGAUACUCUCGAGUUUAAGACAUAGAGAGGUUGUUGGAGAUGUUUUACUUUCAAAAUAUGUGUGAACGUUCAAGUGGUGCUCUGCUAGUGUCCACAAAAACUUGAACUGUAACCUUCUUCUAU
rnacentral:sRNA from 1 species